GAUGAACGCUGGCGGCGUGCCUAAUACAUGCAAGUCGAGCGAACAGACGAGGAGCUUGCUCCUCUGACGUUAGCGGCGGACGGGUGAGUAACACGUGGAUAACCUACCUAUAAGACUGGGAUAACUUCGGUAAACCGGAGCUAAUACCGGAUAAUAUAUUGAACCGCAUGGUUCAAUAGUGAAAGACGGUUUUGCUGUCACUUAUAGAUGGAUCCGCGCCGCAUUAGCUAGUUGGUAAGGUAACGGCUUACCAAGGCAACGAUGCGUAGCCGACCUGAGAGGGUGAUCGGCCACACUGGAACUGAGACACGGUCCAGACUCCUACGGGAGGCAGCAGUAGGGAAUCUUCCGCAAUGGGCGAAAGCUUGACGGAGCAACGCCGCGUGAGUGAUGAAGGUCUUCGGAUCGUAAAACUCUGUUAUUAGGGAAGAACAAAUGUGUAAGUAACUAUGCAUGUCUUGACGGUACCUAAUCAGAAAGCCACGGCUAACUACGUG
rnacentral:rRNA from 1 species